rnacentral:rRNA from 1 species
UACGUAGGGUGCAAGCGUUGUCCGGAAUUAUUGGGCGUAAAGAGCUCGUAGGCGGUUUGUCGCGUCGGCUGUGAAAGCCCGGAGCUCAACUCCGGGUCUGCAGUCGAUACGGGCAGACUUGAGUGUUGCAGGGGAGACUGGAAUUCCUGGUGUAGCGGUGAAAUGCGCAGAUAUCAGGAGGAACACCGGUGGCGAAGGCGGGUCUCUGGGCAACAACUGACGCUGAGGAGCGAAAGCGUGGGGAGCGAGCAGG